GGAUAGGGAAUUGCAAUUAUUUCCCUUGAACGAGGAAUUCCCAGUAGGCGCGAGUCAUUAGCUCGCGUUGAUUACGUCCCUGCCCUUGGUACACACCGCCCGUCGGUACUACCGAUUGAAUGGUUUAGUGAGGUCCUCCGAUUGGACCCGGUCCGGGCGGCGACGUCCGAGCCGGCGUCCGAGAAGACGAUCUAACUUGAUCAUUUAGAGGAAGUAAAAGUCGUAACAAGGUUUCCGUAGGUGAACCUGCGGAAGGAUCAUUA
rnacentral:ncRNA from 1 species